rnacentral:rRNA from 1 species
GACGGAGGGUGCAAGCGUUAUCCGGAUUCAUUGGGUUUAAAGGGUGCGUAGGCGGUUUUGUAAGUCAAUGGUGAAAGGUAAUAGCUUAACUAUUAAUUGGCCAUUGAUACUGCUUAACUUGAGUGCAGUUGAGGCAAGUGGAAUUCCAUGUGUAGCGGUGAAAUGCGUAGAUAUAUGGAGGAACACCGAAAACGAAGGUAACUUGCUAAGCUGCUACUGACGCUGAGGCACGAAAGCGUAGGGAGCAAACAGG